rnacentral:rRNA from 1 species
GAUAAAUGCUGGCGGCGUGCCUAAUACAUGCAAGUCGAGCGAACGGACGAGAAGCUUGCUUCUCUGAUGUUAGCGGCGGACGGGUGAGUAACACGUGGAUAACCUACCUAUAAGACUGGGAUAACUUCGGGAAACCGGAGCUAAUACCGGAUAAUGUUUUGAACCGCAUGGUUCAAAAGUGAAAGACGGUCUUGCUGUCACUUAUAGAUGGAUCCGCGCUGCAUUAGCUAGUUGGUAAGGUAACGGCUUACCAAGGCAACGAUGCAUAGCCGACCUGAGAGGGUGAUCGGCCACACUGGAACUGAGACACGGUCCAGACUCCUACGGGAGGCAGCAGUAGGGAAUCUUCCGCAAUGGGCGAAAGCCUGACGGAGCAACGCCGCGUGAGUGAUGAAGGUCUUCGGAUCGUAAAACUCUGUUAUUAGGGAAGAACAUAUGUGUAAGUAACUGUGCACAUCUUGACGGUACCUAAUCAGAAAGCCACGGCUAACUACGUGCCAGCAGCCGCGGUAAUACGUAGGUGGCAAGCGUUAUCCGGAAUUAUUGGGCGUAAAGCGCGCGUAGGCGGUUUUUUAAGUCUGAUGUGAAAGCCCACGGCUCAACCGUGGAGGGUCAUUGGAAACUGGAAAACUUGAGUGCAGAAGAGGAAAGUGGAAUUCCAUGUGUAGCGGUGAAAUGCGCAGAGAUAUGGAGGAACACCAGUGGCGAAGGCGACUUUCUGGUCUGUAACUGACGCUGAUGUGCGAAAGCGUGGGGAUCAAACAGGAUUAGAUACCCUGGUAGUCCACGCCGUAAACGAUGAGUGCUAAGUGUUAGGGGGUUUCCGCCCCUUAGUGCUGCAGCUAACGCAUUAAGCACUCCGCCUGGGGAGUACGACCGCAAGGUUGAAACUCAAAGGAAUUGACGGGGACCCGCACAAGCGGUGGAGCAUGUGGUUUAAUUCGAAGCAACGCGAAGAACCUUACCAAAUCUUGACAUCCUUUGACAACUCUAGAGAUAGAGCCUUCCCCUUCGGGGGACAAAGUGACAGGUGGUGCAUGGUUGUCGUCAGCUCGUGUCGUGAGGUGUUGGGUUAAGUCCCGCAACGAGCGCAACCCUUAAGCUUAGUUGCCAUCAUUAAGUUGGGCACUCUAAGUUGACUGCCGGUGACAAACCGGAGGAAGGUGGGGAUGACGUCAAAUCAUCAUGCCCCUUAUGAUUUGGGCUACACACGUGCUACAAUGGACAAUACAAAGGGCAGCGAAACCGCGAGGUCAAGCAAAUCCCAUAAAGUUGUUCUCAGUUCGGAUUGUAGUCUGCAACUCGACUACAUGAAGCUGGAAUCGCUAGUAAUCGUAGAUCAGCAUGCUACGGUGAAUACGUUCCCGGGUCU